rnacentral:rRNA from 1 species
AUUGAACGCUGGCGGCAUGCCUUACACAUGCAAGUCGAACGGCAGCACGGGAGCAAUCCUGGUGGCGAGUGGCGAACGGGUGAGUAAUAUAUCGGAACGUGCCCAGUCGUGGGGGAUAACGUAGCGAAAGCUACGCUAAUACCGCAUACGAUCUAUGGAUGAAAGCGGGGGAUCGCAAGACCUCACGCGAUUGGAGCGGCCGAUAUCAGAUGAGGUAGUUGGUGAGGUAAAGGCUCACCAAGCCGACGAUCUGUAGCUGGUCUGAGAGGACGACCAGCCACACUGGGACUGAGACACGGCCCAGACUCCUACGGGAGGCAGCAGUGGGGAAUUUUGGACAAUGGGCGCAAGCCUGAUCCAGCAAUGCCGCGUGCAGGAUGAAGGCCUUCGGGUUGUAAACUGCUUUUGUACGGAACGAAACGGCGAGCUCUAAUACAGUUUGCUAAUGACGGUACCGUAAGAAUAAGCACCGGCUAACUACGUGCCAGCAGCCGCGGUAA